AGUGGUAUAGCUGGGUCAAAUGCUAAUUCCAUUCCCAGUUUUAUAAGAAAUCUCUAUACUGCUUUCCAGAUUGGUUUCACCAAUUUGCAGUCCCACCAGAAAU
rnacentral:pre_miRNA from 1 species